GAUGAACGCUGGCGGCGUGCUUAACACAUGCAAGUCGAACGGAAAGGCCCAAGCUUGCUUGGGUACUCGAGUGGCGAACGGGUGUGUAACACGUGGGUGAUCUGCCCUGCACUUCGGGAUAAGCCUGGGAAACUGGGUCUAAUACCGGAUAGGACCACUUCUUGGAUGUUGUGGUGGAAAGUUUUUUCGGUGUGGGAUGAGCUCGCGGCCUAUCAGCUUGUUGGUGGGGUAAUGGCCUACCAAGGCGUCGACGGGUAGCCGGCCUGAGAGGGUGUACGGCCACAUUGGGACUGAGAUACGGCCCAGACUCCUACGGGAGGCAGCAGUGGGGAAUAUUGCACAAUGGGCGCAAGCCUGAUGCAGCGACGCCGCGUGGGGGAUGACGGCCUUCGGGUUGUAAACUCCUUUCGCUAGGGACGAAGCGUUUUGUGACGGUACCUGGAGAAGAAGCACCGGCUAACUACGUG
rnacentral:rRNA from 1 species